UGUGUAUAAGACUUUAUCACUUAUUAUAUACCUUUCCUUCCAUUAUAUCCCAUAUUCUUUAUAACAACCUUUUCAAAAAGGCAGAGCAAUAUUACCAUUCAAAUUUUAGAGUUGUGGGAGCUAGAUAAAAGGCAGUCAUCCAUUUAGGGUUAGAAUGUAGACACUGUAAUAGUCCAUGGCAUGAUAUCUAGUUCUUUUCAUAUAGCAGUGUAUUGUUUACAAUAAUAGUGACCUUCAUGUGGCAAAAUCCAAUAUUAACUCCUUUAUUUUUCUUUUUAGGUCUCAGCAGCAUAUGACACAUUUAGCUACUUCUCUUAAUUUCUGUGACACAGAAAUGAAAAGUUUUCUUUCUCACUUCCUCUCCUCUGUUCCCUGAGAAACUACUGAAGGCACUGGUACGAUCAGCAGCCAAAGGGCAUUUGCUCCUGAAUACCCAGAUUUCCUGGCAUUUGGUGCCACAGGAGAGAGUGACAACAACUACAAAAGCUUCAAAGAACAGGACACUCUGGGGAGGAUGAUUAGACUAUUCCAGGAUCAAAAUGUAGAGUGACCUCUUCCCAUCUGUUUAAGCAACUUUGGAAGUCCUUGAAAUAUUUAAAGAGAAGAACUCUGGGAAAACAAUGGACCUUCCAAGAUGAAGGUAAUUCAGAGUAAUUUAUAACCUAAAAUAAAUAUAACCUUAUGGCAGUGAAGUGGGACAUAUCUAAUACAUAUAAACUUGGCAAGUAUGAGAGGAAAAUAAGAAAUUCAAUGCAAUUUUCCUUUUACUAGUCCCCUUUCAAAUUCCUUGUUCUACAAAGA
rnacentral:lncRNA from 10 species